rnacentral:rRNA from 1 species
CCUGGCGACAAUAGCGCGACGGUCCCACCUGACCCCAUGCCGAACUCAGAAGUGAAACGUCGUAGCGCCGAUGGUAGUGUGGGGUCUCCCCAUGUGAGAGUAGGGAAUCGCCAGGC